rnacentral:rRNA from 1 species
ACGAACGCUGGCGGCGUGCUUAACACAUGCAAGUCGAACGGUGAAGCGCCUUCCUUUUUGGUGGGUGUGGAUGAGUGGCGAACGGGUGAGUAACACGUGAGUAACCUGCCCCCUUCUUCUGGAUAACCGCAUGAAAGUUUGGCUAAUACGGGAAAUUCUGGUUCUGUCGCAUGAUGGGUCUGGGAAAGAUAUUGUUUCGGUGGGGGAUGGGCUCGCGGCCUAUCAGCUUGUUGGUGGGGUGAUGGCCUACCAAGGCGGUGAGGGGUAGCCGGCCUGGGAGGGUGGACGGUCACACUGGGACUGAGACACGGCCCAGACUCCUACGGGAGGCAGCAGUGGGGAAUAUUGCACAAUGGGCGCAAGCCUGAUGCAGCGACGCCGCGUGAGGGAUGGAGGCCUUCGGGUUGUGAACCUCUUUCGCCAGUGAAGCAGGCCUGCCUCGUUUGUGGGUGGGUUGACGGUAGCUGGAUAAGAAGCGCCGGCUAACUACGUG